rnacentral:rRNA from 1 species
AACGAACGCUGGCGGCAUGCCUAACACAUGCAAGUCGAACGAGACCUUCGGGUCUAGUGGCGCACGGGUGCGUAACGCGUGGGAAUCUGCCCUUGGGUGCGGAAUAACAGUUAGAAAUGACUGCUAAUACCGCAUAAUGACUCCGGUCCAAAGAUUUAUCGCCCAGGGAUGAGCCCGCGUCGGAUUAGCUAGUUGGUAGGGUAAAAGCCUACCAAGGCAACGAUCCGUAGCUGGUCUGAGAGGAUGAUCAGCCACACUGGGACUGAGACACGGCCCAGACUCCUACGGGAGGCAGCAGUGGGGAAUAUUGGACAAUGGGCGAAAGCCUGAUCCAGCAAUGCCGCGUGAGUGAUGAAGGCCUUAGGGUUGUAAAGCUCUUUUACCCGGGAUGGUAACGACAGUACCGGGAGAAUAAGCCCCGGCUAACUCCGUGCCAGCCGCCGCGGUAAUAC